CUCAACCCAGGUGGUCCCCCUGCUCUGAGCACCCAGGCCGGUUCCAUCUAGCGCCAUGGCCAGAUACAGAUGCUGUCGGAGCCAGAGCCGGAGCAGGUGCCGCCGCCGGAGACGCAGAUGCCGCAGACGAAGGAGGCGAUGUUGUCGGAGGCGGAGAAGGAGAGUGUGCUGCCGCCGUUACACCAUGGUGAGGUGCAGGAGAAGAUGAAUGCGCAGAAAAGCCCAGUCCACCGCACUCCUGCCUGCAACGCCACCAGCCGCCAAGACCCUCCUGCCUCCUCGUGAACAUGCCACCAGUUCAAUGACACGAACAGGAGCCUGCUAACCAACAAUGCCGCCUGUCAAUAAACGAUGAAAACUCA